CGAGAAGCUUGCUUCUCUGAUGUUAGCGGCGGACGGGUGAGUAACACGUGGAUAACCUACCUAUAAGACUGGGAUAACUUCGGGAAACCGGAGCUAAUACCGGAUAAUAUUUUGAACCGCAUGGUUCAAAAGUGAAAGACGGUCUUGCUGUCGCUUAUAGAUGGAUCCGCGCUGCAUUAGCUAGUUGGUAAGGUAACGGCUUACCAAGGCAACGAUGCAUAGCCGACCUGAGAGGGUGAUCGGCCACACUGGAACUGAGACACGGUCCAGACUCCUACGGGAGGCAGCAGUAGGGAAUCUUCCGCAAUGGGCGAAAGCCUGACGGAGCAACGCCGCGUGAGUGAUGAAGGUCUUCGGAUCGUAAAACUCUGUUAUUAGGGAAGAACAUAUGUGUAAGUAACUGUGCACAUCUUGACGGUACCUAAUCAGAAAGCCACGGCUAACUACGUGCCAGCAGCCGCGGUAAUACGUAGGUGGCAAGCGUUAUCCGGAAUUAUUGGGCGUAAAGCGCGCGUAGGCGGUUUUUUAAGUCUGAUGUGAAAGCCCACGGCUCAACCGUGGAGGGUCAUUGGAAACUGGAAAACUUGAGUGCAGAAGAGGAAAGUGGAAUUCCAUGUGUAGCGGUGAAAUGCGCAGAGAUAUGGAGGAACACCAGUGGCGAAGGCGACUUUCUGGUCUGUAACUGACGCUGAUGUGCGAAAGCGUGGGGAUCAAACAGGAUUA
rnacentral:rRNA from 1 species